CUGACGCUUUAUGUUUGUUUGUAGAUCUGUCAUCUGAGAAAGCGUACGAGGACAAACCUUUGACGAAGGAUGAGACGAAGUUAUUGCUGGGCUUAAUUGAGAGCAGCCCAAUAAUUUUCUCUAUAAUGACAAAAGCCGCCAGCAACAAAAUAAAAACGUCGAGGGUCGAUACACAUUGAUCGACGGCGUCCGAGAGUUUGUCCAUAGAAAAAUAGCGCAAUGUGUGGCACGACGUACGCGCUUAGGAGGUACUCGGCAGGCUGACACAAAACGCAAUCAUUCGUCGGCGGCAGAAGGCGGCGAUUGACGCCUGACGGUGGGAAUGAUCGAAAAAAAGAUCUUAUAUCAGGGAGUGUAGGUUUUUUCACGCGUAAAAAUUUCCCGUUAAAGUCAUUAGCUUAAAUUAUUUAUUACACGUAAUUUAUAACACCCUAGCGGUGCGAACUUUUCCGUAAAUGGGUGAUCGACAUAAUGCGUACUAGUGUGAAGGUUUUCAAUCGGCGAAGUGCGAAAUUAAUGUGUCUUGACCCUUAAACGAUAACGAUGGCAAAUUAAGUAUAAAAUGUAUAACUUUCCGAGGGUAAUGUUAUCAUUUCAUUCAUACUUAGGCAGACACACUUGCAGUACCACACGCAGAAACAUCGGUCGCCGCCUUUGAUUCUCACGUCUCGGACGGCCACAGAUUCUUCAUCGUCAUUUAUAAGAGCAACUAUAAACACAAUUUUAUAUUAUUCAAAGCUCUGAGAUCUUGGUACAAAAUAUUGACAUGUAACUGCAGCCAAGGCAAUAGCCGUUUGUUAGAGCUCAACAAAUUUUCAUAAUAUACCUACAUCAUUUUCACUAUAUACAUAGAUCAUGUCUAACUUACACUAGUCUGGGGGGAUAAUAUUAUAUACAAUUAGCCCGUACAAACAGACACACUAAAAAUUAAAAAAAAAUUGCGACUUGUUCAAUUUUCUUAUUACAUCCCCUGACUCGGUUUUAAGCAUUUUUUUUGUACAGAAAUUCGAUCUCUACAGUUUUAUUAUAAGUAUAGAUAUAGGAAAUAUUUGUAUGUUUGUAUGUAUUAGUAUUUUUAUUUCUAAUUAAUAAAGUUUAAAAGUA